rnacentral:sRNA from 1 species
GCUGUCGCAAAAUCGACAGCCGGGAUUUGCAGCCCGUGUAAUUCACAGGCGACACGACACGCGCCUUGCGUGUUUUUU